UACGGGAGGCAGCAGGGGGGAAUAUUGCACAAUGGGCGCAAGCCUGAUGCAGCCAUGCCGCGUGUAUGAAGAAGGCCUUCGGGUUGUAAAGUACUUUCAGUCGUGAGGAAGGUGUUAAGGUUAAUAACCUUAGCAAUUGACGUUAGCGACAGAAGAAGCACCGGCUAACUCCGUGCCAGCAGCCGCGGUAAUACGGAGGGUGCGAGCGUUAAUCGGAAUUACUGGGCGUAAAGGGCACGCAGGCGGUUAAUUAAGUUGGAUGUGAAUCCCCGGGCUAACCUGGGAAUGGCAUUCAAGACUGGUUAGCUAGAGUCUUGUAGAGGGGGUAGAAUUCCAUGUGUAGCGGUGAAAUGCGUAGAGAUGUGGAGGAAUACCGGUGGCGAAGGCGGCCCCUGGACAAAGACUGACGCUCAUGUGCGAAAGCGUGGGGAGCAAACAGGGAUUAGAUACC
rnacentral:rRNA from 1 species